UACGAAGGGGGCUAGCGUUGCUCGGAAUCACUGGGCGUAAAGCGCACGUAGGCGGCUUGCUAAGUCAGGGGUGAAAUCCUGGAGCUCAACUCCAGAACUGCCUUUGAUACUGGAGAUCUCGAGUCCGGGAGAGGUGAGUGGAACUGCGAGUGUAGAGGUGAAAUUCGUAGAUAUUCGCAAGAACACCAGUGGCGAAGGCGGCUCACUGGCCCGGUACUGACGCUGAGGUGCGAAAGCGUGGGGAGCAAACAGG
rnacentral:rRNA from 1 species